rnacentral:lncRNA from 1 species
GACGAAUCCGCGCUCCCCCAGGCUGUCGCGCGAGCUCCCCGGAAGCUCCCACCUGAGCGGCGCAUCCUCAGGGCCUGGGCCUGGCCUCCUUGCCUGUGAGAUGGCACUGUGACGGUGCCCACCUCGUGGGGUGUGUGAGGGCCGAGUGAAAUCGUGCAUUUGCGGUCUGAAAUGCAGAAGACAGAAGAUGAGCUCUGGCUCUUCACCUGCAUGGCUGGUGGCAGUGUGGCCUCAGUCUUCUGGGGCUUGAGGAGCUCUGACACUGGUCAGGUCAGAGGUGCCCACUCACCCACUGCUGCCCGUAGCUGUCUUCCACAUCGUUGAUCCAGCGGUCAUCCCAGUCCACUCGGAGGCCCAACAGGUGAAUUGGGAGGAAGCCGUUCUCAGCCAGAAUCACAAACUUGCCCUCGCCCUCCGUGUACCCAUCGAUCUUCAGACCUGGUACUUGUUGGUGGAGUUGAAGGGUAUCUCGACGAUUUUGGCGUAUCUUUCUCUCAUCUCCUUCACGGAACCACAGCACAGCUCUAUGCACUUUAAGAGUGCUGACUCAGAGGCAUCUCCUGCAACUGCCCGCUGUGAACAGAGACAUCAUCUGUAAAUUAUCUCCAAAAAAUUUCACUGAGGCAUCACUAAAAAACAGGAAAAAUAACUCAAGACACAUUCCAAUCUUGUCAGAGGUAGCAGAGGAUGGGCAAGAAGGAAGCAGCGGUGUUAAGUGGGACAGGAGUCCCUCUAGCCCCGACCACUGCUGUUCACAGUGCUUCAGACUCAAACCCCAACGUCCUUCCCCACCCCACAGCAGCUUCUAGUGAAAGAAGGGUGUGGGAAGGUGUCACCUUCCCUAGAAGAGGUAUUAACACACCCUUCCAACCUACUGCAGUCUAUUUCUAUCUUCCCCUGGCCUACUGAAAAGUCUCAAAGCCAAUGCUAUUCCCAACUACCUACUUCUGGUUACUUAUCUGAAAAUACCAAGUGAGAGAUUAAACAUUUAUAGCACCUUUCAUUACCGUAGAAUUCGUAAGAAAAUGCUUAAGGUCUCAGGACUGGGGACAAGCUGCCUGUGUCAAGGGCAAAGUAGAAGACUGUGCAUUCUAAUCAUAACUGUGCAAAAUUAACUGGGCCUGAAGGAUGUGAACUGAAAGCUAUUACCAACUCCAACAGUAAUAAAAUCGAACCACGU